GACCUCAGGAAUGGACCGAGAAGGUCCCAAAGGUCCAUUUUGGGGUCAAUUUGGGUCAUUUUGAGGUCUCGAGAAGAUCUCGAUGGAUCUCGAGGGGCUUUGGGACCUCAGCGAUGGAUGGAGAAGGUCCCAAAGGUCCAUUUUGGGGUCAAUUUGGGUGAUUUUGAGGUCUCGAGAAGAUCUCGAUGGAUCUCGAGGGGCUUUGGGUCCUCAGCGAUGGAUGGAGAAGGUCCCAAAGGUCCAUUUUGGGGUCAAUUUGAGUGAUUUUGGGGUCUCGAGAAGAUCUCGAUGGAUCUCGAGGGGCUUUGGGACCUCAGCGAUGGAUCGAGGAGGUCCCAGAGGUCCAUUUUGGGGUCAAUUUGGGUGAUUUUGGGGUCAAUUUGGGUGAUUUUGGGGUCUCAGGAGGAUCUCGAUGGAUCUCGAGGGGCUUUGGGACCUCAGGGAUGGAUGGAGAAGGUCCCAGAGGUCCAUUUUGGGGUCAAUUUGGGUGAUUUUGGGGUCUCAGGAGGAUCUCGAUGGAUCUCGAGGGGCUUUGGGACCUCAGCGAUGGAUGGAGAAGGUCCCAAAGGUCCAUUUUGGGGUCAAUUUGAGUGAUUUUGGGGUCUCGAGAAGAUCUCGAUGGAUCUCGAGGGGCUUUGGGACCUCAGGAAUGGACCGAGAAGGUCCCAGAGGUCCAUUUUGGGGUCAAUUUGGGUGAUUUUGGGGUCUCAGGAGGUUCUCGAUGGAUCUCGAGGGGCUUUGGGACCUCAGCGAUGGAUGGAGAAGGUCCCAAAGGUCCAUUUUGGGGUCAAUUUGAGUGAUUUUGGGGUCUGGAGAAGAUCUCGAUGGAUCUCGAGGGGCUUUGGGACUUCAGCGAUGGAUGGAGAAGGUCCCAGAGGUCCAUUUUGGGGUCAAUUUGGGUGAUUUUGGGGUCAAUUUGAGUCAUUUUGGGGUCUCAGGAGGUUCUCGAUGGAUCUCGAGGGGCUUUGGGACCUCAGGGAUGGAUCGAGAAGGUCCCAAAGGUCCAUUUUGGGGUCAAUUUGGGUGAUUUUGGGGUCUUGAGAAGAUCUCGAUGGAUCUCGAGGGGCUUUGGGACCUCAGCGA